rnacentral:tRNA from 1 species
GCUUGGGUGGUGGAACUGGUAGACACGCCGGACUUAAAAUCCUGUGGGCCAAAAGCCCGUGCCGGUUCGAUUCCGGUCCCGAGUACAA